rnacentral:lncRNA from 1 species
GGUGUUUCUCGACCUAGCGCAGUUUCUGCAUGUGAGCCGCCGCCACCAUCCCUUCUCGCCUCCGCACACUCAGCGUUUCUACCCUCUCUGCCUAGAGCUUUGCCGUUGGAGAGUGUAAUGAAGAUGCUGUAAAUGAAUUAGUGAAGGAAGGUGAAAUGGGUGCUGAAGAGGAGACACAGAAAACCGAAGGGACAAAAAGAAAGGCUGAGAACGUUCUGGCCAGGAAGAGAAAACACAGUGGCCUCUCACCACAACACGAGGAUGAGGAGGAUGCCAACAGGAAAUUUGGAGGGAGUGUUAGGGAGAAGGAAGAUGCAGCUGCAGAGCAGGAAAAAGGCACCAAGUCAGAGGAUGCUAUGGAAGAGAAGGAGGAGGAAAUGUUGGCCAGCUCCCUCAGUGACACAGAACCAAAAUCAGAAGUGCCUCUGAGUACGCAAGUUAAAACAGGAGAGGAGAAUACAGAGACAGCUUCAAGUAAAGUGAGAAGACGCAGAAGAACAAGAGAAACCUAAAGAACGAGAAGAAGUUGAAGUCACCAAGGUUUUUGAUGUUGCUGGUGAAAAAGUCAGGUUUCUCAGGAGACAGGGAAGGCCUGGUAUGUCCCCAGAUCAUGAGCCUCCCAGAUCAAAAGGUGGCCAACAUGCCACUGAGAAAGAGCAGAGGUCAAUUACUAAUACUUCGAGGAAGGAUGAAUCGACUAAGCGAAAGUGGAAACGACAUUCAAAUGUGGUCAUGACUGGUGAAGAAAGUAAACUCCGAUGCUGUAAAGAAGAAUAUUGCAUAGGAACCUGGAAUGUUAGAUCUAUGAAUCCAGGGGGAGUAAGGAAGUGGGUGAGACCUCUCAAGAAGCAAAAUCCGUAUUCAAGCCAACUGAAAAGGGCAAACCUCAGGCUAAUGUCCCUUCAAAUGUGUCAUCAGUUCCUGGUGGAUCAGGGGUUUCUAAGGAAGUGGGUGAAACAUCUCAAGAAGGGAAAUCCGUCUUCAAGCAAAAUGAGAAAGAAGAACCUCAGUGCAGUGUCCCUUCGGCAGUGCCAUCACUUCCUGCUGGGUCAAGGCCUGAAAACUGUGACCUUCAGAAGAACCAGGAUUGCAGCAAUUAAGUAUCUGACUUUAUCCUUAACACCUGAACUGCUCCUCUGGUUUGAAUGAAGUUCUUAUUACAACUGCAGUGCAUACCCAGCGUUUCCUAGGAGACCAUUUCCCGGGAUGUGAAGUCCUGGUGCCAUUAGCUGUCCAUAUGCAGAAGGUUCUGUGUACCUGCGUUUCUUUUUUCUGUAGUCUGUUUGGCUGGUUGUCACUUAACUUUUCAGUUAGUUUAUUUCACUAAAUGAUGUACUCAAAAUGAUAACAUGUUUGUACCGUGGGAAAUUAUUUCAAUUUUAUUUUUCUACUGAUGUUUCUAAUUCUGGUAUAAGUGUUUAUCAAUAAAGAAUUACUUUAUAUAUAUAUAUAUAGUGGAUUAUUAGCCAUAAAAAGAAGGAAUUUGAGUCAAUUCUAGUGAGGUGGAUGAAACUAGUGCCUGUUAUACAGAAUGAAGUAAGUUAGAAAGAGUACAAUAAAUAUAAUGUAUUAACACAUAUAUGUGAAAUCUAGAAAAAUGGUAUUAAUAAACCUAUUUGAAGGGAAGGAAUGGAGAUACAGGUAUAGAGAAUGGACAUGUGGACACACUGGGGAAGGAAAAAGUGGAAUGGACCGAGAAAGUACCAUUGACAUAUAUACCCUGCUGCUGCUAAGUCGCUUCAGUCGUGUCCAACUCUGUGCGACCACAUAGAUGGCAACCCACCAUGCUCCGCCAUCCUUGGUAUUCUCCAGGCAAGAACACUGGAGUGGGUUGCCAUUUUCUACCAUGUAUAAAACAGAUAGCUGGUGAGAUGUUGCUAUAUAACACAAGGAGCCCAGCCUGGCAUUCUCUAAUGACAUAGGGGGUGGGACGGGGAAGGGGAGGGAGGUUCAAGAGAGAGAUUAUAUAUGCAUAAUUAUGACUGAUUUGCUCUGUUGUACAGCAGAAACCAAUACAAUAUUAUAAAGCAAAUUUUCUCCAAUUAAAAACUAAAUUAAUAAAAAACAGCUAGUAAAUUAUCUAAGAAAAAUUGCCAGUUACUUAUUUCUUAAAAGCUAUUAUAUGCAUGUACUUUAAAAAAGAUGAAGCAAAAUGGAUGAAAUCAAAUUAGCAAUAAAAAUACAUGUUUAUAGUAGCUAUAUGAGUUUCAUUUAAAGGGAAACACAUUGGUAGA